rnacentral:lncRNA from 11 species
AUGAUGGAGUUUAAGAAAUUUAGCAAGGGAACUAUAGAAAUCUACAUGUCUCCAGAAGCAGAUGGGGUGCUCCUUAAAAGAACACUGCAACGACUUGGCACUUCAUCCGUGCUGAUACCAGACGAGAAACUCCUUCCUGGGCACACAGAAGACUGGGAAACGUGGAAAGCACUGAACAGACUGCACUCCGGCACCACGAGAUGCAGAGCCAAUCUUAAGAAAUGGGACUACGAAUUAGAGUCCACGACAUGUAAGUGCAGAGAAGAGCAAACCACAGACUAUUUACUACAAUGCGGUCCGAGCCACAUGGACCUUCUCACAGUGACACCACAGGUCAGCUUUUGGUCAAAGGAAAUUUAGUAUAAUGACAAGUUUUUAACUUCGUUUGUGGUUGUUUUAUACAUUAUAACUGUAUUCUCAAUUCCCUUCUGACAUGAUAAAUAAAUAAAUGCUCCAUUCAGUCUUUCUAUCCCUUAACAGUUUUUCUCACCCUUCCCAGGCACUCUCCCUCUUACCAUUUGUUUGUUUUCUUUAGUGGUAGCACCUCCGCACUUAUGUUUUUCAAUAACUUGUGUUGCAAACACUCUCUGGCUUCUUUCAAUAAAAAGAGACAACAGGAAGUGAGAUGAAAAAGAGUCAGUGUUCACUCCCUGGGAAAGCGUGGGCGUCCUCUCAGUGGUUGGAAGGAUGCUACCGUGAUUCUCAGAACCAUGCUGUGUCUGCCUCUUUCUUCAGAACAGAGGUCUUCAAAAGGGCAAAGCUAGGCAUCCAGUUUGCUUUAAAAAAAGAAGUCUCUCUUGGCUUCCAUAAGAACUAGUUUUGUGGACUACAUCAUCCCAGAUUGGCCCUGCCAUUAGGCAAAGUGGAACCUUGGCCCACAGAUUUUGUCAUGGCAAGGAAGUAAGUUUGUUGUUAUGCAUCUAUACAGCCAGAG